UUAUAAAGUUAAGCCCAAUAGUGAUCUUCUUUGGAGAAUGCAGUUUCUAAGAGAGAAGAAUUUCAAACAGAGAAUUGGAGCAGUAAAAGUAGAAGAAGGAGAAGAAAUUAGCCAUGAAAUUGCUACAAUUGCAUUGCGUAGAGCUGUCCAUUUCUUCUCAGCUUUACAGGCUACUGAUGGACAUUGGCCUGCUGAAAAUGCCGGUCCUCUCUUCUUCCUUCCACCUCUCGUUAUGAGUAU